GAUGAACGCUAGCGGCAGGCCUAAUACAUGCAAGUCGAACGGGAUCCAGAUCAAAGCUUGCUUUGGUCUGGUGAGAGUGGCGCACGGGUGCGUAACGCGUGAGCAACCUACCCUUGUCAGGGGGAUAGCCCGGCGAAAGUCGGAUUAAUACCGCAUGACAUCAUUGAGAGGCAUCUUUCGAUGAUCAAAGAUUUAUCGGACAAGGAUGGGCUCGCGUGACAUUAGCUAGUUGGUAAGGUAACGGCUUACCAAGGCUGCGAUGUCUAGGGGCUCUGAGAGGAGAAUCCCCCACACUGGUACUGAGACACGGACCAGACUCCUACGGGAGGCAGCAGUAAGGAAUAUUGAUCAAUGGACGGAAGUCUGAACCAGCCAUGCCGCGUGCAGGAGGACGGCCCUAUGGGUUGUAAACUGCUUUUAUACGGGAACAAACGUCGGUACGUGUACCGGUCUGAGUGUACCGUAAGAAUAAGGAUCGGCUAACUCCGUG
rnacentral:rRNA from 1 species